GGGUGAUUUCAUCAUUUUCUUCUCCCGCCUCUAGAUCAAGUCUAAUGAAUUCUUGGUAACUUUCAUCCCAAUUCCACUUCUUUUCUUCCUCAAAGACAACAUCCCUACUGAUUAUGACUAGGGUGAUUUCAUCAUUUUCUUCUCCCGCCUCUAGAUCAAGUCUAAUGAAUUCUUGGUAACUUUCAUCCCAAUUCCACUUCUUUUCUUCCUCAAAGACAACAUCCCUACUGAUUAUGACUUUCUUG
rnacentral:lncRNA from 1 species